AGCAGUAGCCGCGGUAAUACGGAGGAUCCAAGCGUUAUCCGGAAUCAUUGGGUUUAAAGGGUCCGUAGGCGGUCUUGUAAGUCAGUGGUGAAAGCCCAUCGCUCAACGGUGGAACGGCCAUUGAUACUGCAGGACUUGAAUUAUUGGGAAGUAACUAGAAUAUGUAGUGUAGCGGUGAAAUGCUUAGAGAUUACAUGGAAUACCAAUUGCGAAGGCAGGUUACUACCAAUUGAUUGACGCUGAUGGACGAAAGCGUGGGUAGCGAACAGGAUUAGAUACCCGUGUAGUCCCUGUCUCUUAUAC
rnacentral:rRNA from 1 species